AAGCGUGGGUAUCGAACAGGAUUAGGUACCCUGGUAGUCCACGCAGUAAACGAUGAGCACUAAUUGUCCGGUCCGAGUGAGGGCUGGGUGAUACAGCGAAAGCGUUAAGUGCUCCACCUGGGGAGUACGCCGGCAACGGUGAAACUCAAAGGAAUUGACGGGGGCCCGCACAAGCGGAGGAACAUGUGGUUUAAUUCGAUGAUACGCGAGGAACCUUACCCGGGCUCAAACGCGGCGUGAAUACUUUUGAAAGGAGGUAGUCAGCAAUGACACGCCGCGAGGUGCUGCAUGGUUGUCGUCAGCUCGUGCCGUGAGGUGUCGGCUUAAGUGCCAUAACGAGCGCAACCCCUACCGUCAGUUGCCAUCAGGUAAAGCUGGGGACUCUGACGGGACUGCCGGCGCAAGCUGUGAGGAAGGCGGGGAUGACGUCAAAUCAGCACGGCCCUUACGUCCGGGGCGACACACGUGUUACAAUGGCAGGUACAGCGGGAAGCCACCUGGCGACAGGGCGCGGAACCCGAAAACCUGUCUCAGUUCGGAUUGGAGUCUGCAACCCGACUCCAUGAAGCUGGAUUCGCUAGUAAUCGCGCAUCAGCCACGGCGCGGUGAAUACGUU
rnacentral:rRNA from 1 species